GUAAUCUGUGACGACGGAGAAUACAAACGACAAAAUGUAUAUUAAUCUGCUAAUAUGAAAUGUAAUAAUCGUCCUAAACGCGUAUUAAUAUACUCUUGUACCUAUCGUUAUUACACAGUGGAAAACUGUCCAAAGUUGGAAGUUAGAAGAUUAAAAAAUAAGCUCAUAACGGUAUAACACCAAGAGCUGUGGUACUUACCAGCGAAAUGGUUCUUUGAGGCGACAUUUUGGCCCUUUGGUCGGCUGCCACCAUUUGACUGGCGUAUAAAUUGUUAUACAAAUCCGCGAUAGUCGAGUUGUUCUUCUUUGACGACCUGCAACGACAGCAAAACGAAUUAUCCACUCACACUCACAUCGCAUGCCGCUGCAGAGUUCGUUGAUGGACCACGAAAUCACGCACGCCAGAGCACACUAUAUAGUUGCUGCCACACUAUAGCACAAUGUACACACACGUUCUCCUUAUUGUCCAACCUAUUGUACGACGGCUUCAGCGUAGGCACAACGGAUUGCGUCGUCAGAAUACUCGGAAUGUAUUUAAAAUGUUUUUGUCUGCCAAUACAAAUACCUUGGCAUAUCUACAUAUAAAGGUAUACUAUGUAUACGGUAUGAUAAUGAAAUGGACAGGACCAAUCUUUCAAAAUAAAUGAAACAUGAAGAAGUUGGAAUCGUUAAAAAUUGAUAAAAGAGCAACAGGAUCCCAUAAAAAAAUUGAGUCCGGUCAAGCUUAAACGCUACACGAAAAUAUCUACACAAAACGCGUUUAGAGAUAAGCUUACAACAUAUACAAGCUGGUACCAAGUAAAAAGAAAUGCUACAGUCAAUUUCUUAAAAAAAUUUAAAAAUUGAAGCUCGAAUUUACUACGUGCAGCAUGAUUUUUUUAAGAAAUCUUUACUAGAACUUAACUGCAAUGUGAUGAAGUUAUACAUUCUAAAGAAAUCGUACUGACACAAUAAUGCCAAAGAAAAUUAAAAUCUAUUUUAAGUAAAAAAUCGAUGCAGGUACAUUUUAACAUUUUGUCAUUUGGAUACAUUAGCAACACAUAACAUGAUUGAUGUUUACAAUUAUGAAUGCACCUACACAAAUUUCAGCAAAUAGCGUAACUGUGAUACGAGCAGUGACCUUAGAGAGCGAAGCGUUUUCCUUAGCUUGCAGCGUCGUGCAGCAGUUAUUAUUUUUUACAGGUAAAACUAUAGCAACGUAUACAAUAGUAAAAUAUUGGAAGGAAUCGACGAUGAUGGGAAGUAGAGAAGAAUGCUGCACUAGUAAAUUACGGUGUGCGUCGUUCUUCGCAAUUAUAUUAUAUACAUUAAGCAUGAUAAUAUAUUAUAUACCGUCUAUAUUAUUUGUGGUAUAUCCGGCAUUAGGCCCAGAGCCAUCGCUGUAAUGCCGCAAGGACAUUCGCCGGUUGAAAUCACGACGACAACCAAGCCAUGGAGUAUUAUUACUCUAUGGACCAGGCACGCAUAAUGAUAAUGAUCAUAAUAACGUAUAACGACGAUUGUUGUGCAUUUUCGACGGAGCGCGUUCUGGGACUGGCUGGGUAUCCCCCCCGCUCAAAUUGUGACGGCGUGCAAAACUCACGUCGACGUUUCGUCCUAUUAAUCAUAUCGAGCAGCGGGUGAUCGGAUAACGAAUGGCGGUGGCGGUAAUUAUACGAAGCGUUAAAGUCACUGCGGUGCCUCUUGCAACAGUUUGCGUCCUCUGUUAAAACUUUACAAGUGUAGAUGAGUAACAUCACAUUUUAUUCAUUUAAAGUUAACUAAAAUAUUAGACGCAUUCCUUCAGUUAUUAGUAUCAUUUUAUAUAUGAUAUAUGAUACAUUGUUACAUUGUAGUGGCGUCAGGAUAAGAUAGGUGUACAUACUGAAGAAUUUAUCAGAUGGAAGUUCAUAUAAGUGUUAACUUUUUUGGAAAGUCCCAAAAAUAUACUUCCGGAUCGAAAAUCAGUGUAUAUAGUUAGUAGUUACUCGCGUUUAGGACUGCCGUUUUAUUAUUCAACCUAACUAUUAAGUAAUUAAAGAAGAAAACACCUAUAGAAGUCAGCUGUACAGAUGUUGAUUUUCUAAAAUGGCAAGCCAGUAUUUAAUUUAAAUUUUACGUAUUUAUUACUUUAAUA